UACAGAGGGGGCAAGCGUUGUUCGGAAUUACUGGGCGUAAAGGGCGCGUUGGCGGCCUGCUAAGUCGAACGUGAAAUCCCUGGGCUCAACCCAGGAACUGCGUCCGAUACUGGUUGGCUUGAAUCCGGGAGAGGGACGUGGAAUUCCAGGUGUAGCGGUGAAAUGCGUAGAUAUCUGGAGGAACACCUGUGGUGUAGACAGCUUACUGGACCACGACUGACGCUGAGACACGAAAGCGUGGGUAGCAAACAGG
rnacentral:rRNA from 1 species